rfam:Caprimulgus carolinensis contig114419, whole genome shotgun sequence.
ACAAAGGCUCUUUUAAGAGCCAAUCCACACACAAUUUAAGGAGCUGU